rnacentral:rRNA from 1 species
GUCAUAUGCUUGUCUCAAAGAUUAAGCCAUGCAUGUCUCAGUACAAGCCAAAUUAAGGUGAAACCGCGAAAGGCUCAUUAAAUCAGUUAUGGUUCCUUAGAUCGUACCCACAAUUACUUGGAUAACUGUGGUAAUUCUAGAGCUAAUACAUGCAAACAGAGCUCCGACCGGAGACGGAAGGAGUGCUUUUAUUAGAUCAAAACCAAUCGGUGGCGGGUUCAACGCUCGUCAUCGUACAACUUGGUGACUCUGAAUAACUUUACGCUGAUCGCACGGUCAUCGCACCGGCGACGCAUCUUUCAAAUGUCUGCCUUAUCAACUGUCGAUGGUAGGUUCUGCGCCUACCAUGGUUGUAACGGGUAACGGGGAAUCAGGGUUCGAUUCCGGAGAGGGAGCCUGAGAAACGGCUACCACAUCCAAGGAAGGCAGCAGGCGCGCAAAUUACCCACUCCCGGCACGGGGAGGUAGUGACGAAAAAUAACGAUACGGGACUCAUCCGAGGCCCCGUAAUCGGAAUGAGUACACUCUAAACCCUUUAACGAGGAUCAAUUGGAGGGCAAGUCUGGUGCCAGCAGCCGCGGUAAUUCCAGCUCCAAUAGCGUAUAUUAAAG